UUCCUGCUUGCAAGCCUGGGCCCUGGGAGGGCUGAGAUGAACUAGACUUGACAAGCACUUGGGUCAUGUCUGGACUUGCACAGAUGGAAUUUUAAGCACAUAAAACGCUGGAGCGCUGGUGCCAGGAAGCUAACUUCCACAGCAGAGUUCUGUGGGUCCUGCAAAAACAACAAGAACCCAUGUCUUGGCAAAGUGAUGUCAGCUGGUUCUGACAGACAGAGAGAUGAAGCUCCUGAAAAAACAGCUAUGGAAGCUUCAUACUGAGACAGUCUUUGUUUUGGAACCUGGACUCACUAUGAGCUCCCUGGGACUCAAUUCCAAUACCAACAGUGGGUACAUCAGGACUCUCUCUUCCCCCAGCUAGACGCUGCUGAAUCUCUUCUCUUUGUGUUGAAAGUUGUAAUUAUGAAGAAAAUCAAGCCCAUGUAAACUUAGGUUGGCAAGUGCACAGCCCAAGCUAAACCCAAACCCGGAGUUUGACGCUACUUUAACCCUGGCUAAGCUGCUUCAACGCUGUGUCUUCCUCUGCAAACAGGGCUGCUAAAGAUCGGCUCCGUGGGCUCAGUCCAAGCGUUUGUACGUUGGAGACCCAGCCCCCAAUAUGAUAGUGUCAGGAGGGCCUGCCAAGUGAAAGCCUGUGGGAGAUGUCUUCAGACAGAAGUUUCACUUCACCUGGUCCAGCCAGCUCCUUCAAACCUGAAUUCCCAGACAAGCACCCAACUGGGUGUGAAGAAGGAUAGUUGUGUUGGUUGUGCACAUGGGUUCCCUCCAGGGAGUCUGAAAUGAGGAGUGGAUGGCACUCUAUGAGGGUCUUCCUGUACCCGUCAGAUAAGCUAAGAGGAUGCUGAAUGGGAAAGGGACUCCAGGUGACAUUCCCUAGAAGAAUGACAAGCUCGAGAGCCUAAGGAGAAUGUGCUCAUGGAUUCCGUUUGGAGAGGACUGGGGAUUGGACUUCUUUUACUGCACGAGCACUCACCAAUGGAGGUACCAGCAGGGCAGUGCCUUUGAAACCUCAGCAACACAGUCCUCCUUUAUUCCUUCAGCAAAUAUCGGUCGAGUUCCUAUUGUGCUCAGACACUAUUCAGAUGCCAGGGAUACAGGGGCCAACAAAGCAAAGUCUUUCUCGUGGAGAGAUUUUGUCCUAGAGAAAUGAGACAAAUGGUUUAUGUGUGGGCUGACUAAGAAGUGCUGGGAAGAAAAAUCAAGCAGGGGAAGAGGGAGAGGCAGAGCCUGGGAGUGGAAAGGGGGUUGUUCUGCAUAGGAUGAUCAAGAAAGCCUCUGAUAGAGCACCAUUGGAGCAGAGG